UGUAUGUGUGUAUGUGUGUGUAUGUGUGUGUGUGUGACAUACACACAAACACACACACACGCAAUACG